rnacentral:lncRNA from 1 species
GACAACUUGCGGUCAACCCAUAGUGUUUCAACCGUUGGGAGCUCCUAAUCUAAGGAGUUCGUGGCCUUGCAGCAACACACGACUUAGCUCACCGAGAAAUACGAUCACCUAAAAGCGGAGUACGCACAACUCAAAGCGUCUCAUGCACAACAAAGAGCGGAACAAAGAGCGGAGUCUGAGCAACUCAAAGCGUCUCAAGCACAACAAAAAGCGGAGUAUGAAGCGGCUCAUGAACAACAAAAAGCGGCUUAUAAACAGCUUCGCGAAAUGCUAAUGAACAUCACAAAUAGUGGAACAUGUGCGCCUAAUCUUUUUUGGCCGUAUAACCACCAGCCUCCUCCAGGAUCUCCUC